GAUGAACGCUGGCGGCGUGCCUAAUACAUGCAAGUCGAACGCUGGAGAUCUAGCUUGCUAGAUCGAAGGAGUGGCGAACGGGUGAGUAAUACAUAAGCAACCUACCCACGAAGACUGGGAUAAUCUCUGGAAACGGGGACUAAUACCGGAUAGGUAAUCGGAAGGCAUCUUCUGGUUAUUAAAGGUUAAAAACACUGGUGGAUGGGCUUAUGGCGCAUUAGUUAGUUGGUGAGGUAACGGCCCACCAAGACGAUGAUGCGUAGCCGGCCUGAGAGGGUGGACGGCCACAUUGGGACUGAGACACGGCCCAGACUCCUACGGGAGGCAGCAGUAGGGAAUUUUCGGCAAUGGGGGCAACCCUGACCGAGCAACGCCGCGUGAGUGAAGACGGCCUUCGGGUUGUAAAGCUCUGUUGUAAGGGAAGAACGGUAGAUAGAGAAUAUCUAAGUGACGGUACCUUACCAGAAAGCCACGGCUAACUACGUG
rnacentral:rRNA from 1 species